AGCAGCCGCGGUAAUUCCAGCUCCAAUAGCGUAUAUUAAAGUUGUUGCAGUUAAAAAGCUCGUAGUUGAAUUUCGGGGUUAGUAGAUUGGUCAUGCCUCUGGUAUGCACUGGUCUUACUGAUUCCUCCUUCCUGAUGAACCGUAAUGCCAUUAAUUUGGUGUUGCGGGGAAACUGGACUGUUACUUUGAAAAAAUUGAGUGUUUAAAGCAGGCUAACGCUUGAAUACAUUAGCAUGGAAUAAUGAAAUAGGACGUUCGAUCUUAUUUUGUUGGUUUCUAGGAUUGACGUAAUGAUUAAUAGGGAUAGUUGGGGGCAUUAGUAUUCAAUUGUCAGAGGUGAAAUUCUUGGAUUUAUUGAAGACUAACUACUGCGAAAGCAUUUGCCAAGGAUGUUUUCAUUAACCAAGAACGAGAGUUAGGGAUCGAAGACGAUCAGAUACCGUCGUAGUCUUAACCAUAAACUAUAGCCGACUAGGGAUCGGAUGAUGUUAAUUUUUAAUGUACUCAUUCGGCGCCUUAA
rnacentral:rRNA from 1 species